UAGUCUUGUCAGGGUAACGCUUUGCAAGUUCCCAUGUGAAAGCAAUCCUGAUGUGAACAGUUUAUUCAUAACAAUCAAUUCCUGGGUGAAAAACAACUAACACCUGCAUAAACAUUAAAUCUAUCCCACAAGAACCGGUGAAGAAAAUAUGUAAACAAUUCAAGAGUAGAAAGAUUUGAUAGACAAGUAAAAUACUUUUAACUAACCAAUAAAGUAAUUGGCAAGAAAGCUACUAACCAACUGGAGUCACACACGAGGUCUCUAAAACUGUAUAAAAAUGAGUUACGUGAAGGAAGAAUGGGGUUUUGCCACCAUGAAGAAAAUGGAGUCUUGUGUGAUUUAUUCCGAUACUCUCUUCCCAAAAUGGACACAGGAACCAGAGCAUGAGAAUCAGCUCUGCAGAAACCUCUCUUAGAACAGACUCCUGAAAGCCCCAGAAUUGCUUUGCAGGGCCUGGCAUGAAACGUGGCACUAAAGCGAAGACUCUGUGUUCCCAUUAGUACUAAACAUAUUGUGAUCAACAGAAGAAAAGAGAUCCUGGGGUGAGCAUGAACCUCCUGCAGAACUUCUAGCAGUGACUGCUUUGUGUUGUCACCUGGCAACUCAUGGAACUCACCUGGGGGUGGAUCCUGCACAAAGGAGCAAGGAACUCGAAUGCAGACUUCCACAGAAAUACCAGAACAAGCUAAUGCUACAGAGAUGCAUAGAACACACAGACAGUUUAUUUUCUGGAACCUUUACUCUGACAUUAACAAAAAAUUUCUCAAAUAAGCUCAGCUGGGUUUAAGCCUUUCCAGCCACACAGCAGAAUAGAAGCACAGUUCUGGAAAUCUCAUACCUGAAGCAUGACAUCCAUCAGAUCUCCUGAGAAAUCCCAGUGGCAGCCAGGCACGGGAGGCGAAAUUUCCUCCUCAGAUCCUCAUGGAAACAGCUGAGUUGGGCAUUCAGAGCAUGGAGAGGGAGCAGAUUCCCCCAAAGUCAGGCUGACAUCAAGCCUUUUAAUUCUACCCGUGACUGUGCUUAAAGAGACCCACAGGGAAGGCAGCUCACUAAAAGCAGGGAGCAGCUGCCUUCCUGCCUUCAUUAAAGGGAGGAUAUUUUCCAUGAGGGAGGGAGGAAGGUGAAGAAAAGCUUGAUGAAGAAAGGAAUGGGAGACAAAUUCAAUUCCACGUCAAACUGGGAGAAGAGAACAGUGAGGACCCACUCUAGGCUGGGAAUUUCAAGGAUCCAACUAUCACGUGCAAACAGAGCAGGCUGUAACAAUGCUGUGAUGUUCCGUAUACUUGGGUAAACAGCUGGAGUGAGGGGAACCAUACUGGAGAUAAGGGAUUCUGUGUAUCCUUUGGCAAACUCAACCCUUUCAGAAUUUUUAAAAAGUCUAUUUAUCUCUAGGUGGGUGCAUAUCCCAGCCCUAAUAGUUCUCAGCUCUCUAAAGCUGUAGAACUGGUCACCCCUUGAGGUUAACUGUGCAAAACACAACAGCUGUACUUCAACAGUUGUGGAGCAUGGAUCUGUGCUCCUACAGACCUUUAAUAUUGCAGCAAGCUCUGGCAGCACCCAAACUUUCACAGUGAAGUGGAUGUUGCCAAAAUCUACACAUGCAGUGUAACCUAUGAAGUGAUAUUAAUUAAUGCUGGCUCAAAAUCCAAUCCAAUUGCUUUAAAUAUUUGUAAUGUUAGUGAUGUUAAUGGUAAAAUCAAGUGCUUUUUUGACACAAAAUUCAGGAACUAAAGAAUGGCUCUUUGCUCAGCUGUUUCCUAAGCUGGGUGAAUUAUUUAUUUUUUAUUAAAUAAUCUAUUUUCUCCUUUAUGGUUUCCCAACUAUGAUGGAGAAGACACUUCACAACACUGGCACAAGGACUACGUUAACAUUCACUCCAAUUGCUGUAAACAACUUAGAGGAACUAUUCUCUAAGAUUGUUUCCCUUGGAAGCAACAGUGGGCUACACCUAAUGAGCUUUUGGAUUUGGAUAGCAACAAAAUAAUGAAAUCAAGUAAAAUCCAUCUUCAGCUAAACAACAGCAAACCACUAUUAUGGCUGAACAACUAUUCAGAAUGCUGCUGACAAUGCAGGAGAUUUGACUAGGUCAAGAGGACAUUUCAGUGUAUAAUCACACAAGCCUGCAAAACUGCCUGAGGUUUCCCAGGCACCAUGGACAUUCAAGCCAGUUGUGAGAGGAAAAGCAUUUCUCUUUUUAAGAUACAACAGGAUGAAGGCAACCUGGAGGUUUUGUCUUUUCUAUAGAUCUGAUGACAGAUCCUUCUCAAACCAGCAAUCAAAAAUGACAUCAUUAAAUUAUUAGAGGACAAAGUUGCCAACAUGAAGGUUGAUUUGAAAAUUCUGUUUUUAAAAAGAAUGGUCCAAAUCAGGCAAUUGGGUUUUCUAGCAUGGAGUUUGGUGUUCUGAACAAUGUAAUUUUCCUUCCCAAAGUGAAUAAAAAUGUCAAGGGCCUCACAUUUGAGAGGGAAAAAUGGCAACUGUAAAGCACUGAGAAAAGUUCUGUCACACCAGCUACCUUGAAAGGAAAUUCAUAUAGAAUACACAAAAAUGGGAAUAGACACAAAUAUGGGAACAAGCUGAAUUUCAUGGCAGCAUUACAUUGGUCUGAGGUUAUUUAAUGAAAAGAGGAAGGUCUGCGAGAUGAAGGUCUAAUUAUUGAAGAGAGUGCAAGAAACUGCAAACUUGAAAGUGAAUGAAUAGGACUGCAGGGAAGAAAAGAAGAAAGAAUCCAAACCAUUGAGCUAUUUCAGGGAACACUCCAACAUUUCUUUAGUGAGGCUACAAAGGGAUGUUUGGAAAUAGAGUGCUGGGCACCUACUUAAACCAGCCUAAGUGGGAAUAAUAUCAAUUAAAAUAGAAGUUCAUCAUUUUAGCAAGAAGAUAACAGAAUACAACAAUAGAAUUACUGAAAAGAAAAUGUCUCUUUCAAAAUAUUUGAGAGCACAGACAACAGAAAAUGAAAUGUUGAUGGAUGUGUGCCUGCUCUGGAUAUAUGGGAAGGAUCACCAAGGUCCUGAAUGUGUGGGAAUCCAGAAAACCCACCUGACAUUUAGAUGUGUCAGCAGUUACAUCAACAACUCUGCAAAUAAGACC